UCGCCAUUCGUUUAGUCCCAUUGCGGUUCGUUUCUCUUUCAAGCUUCAAAACUAUAUUUCUCUCAAGUAUCAGAACCAUCUCUAACGUAGAAAAAAUCGCCAUCGGUGAAACUGUGCGGUCUGUUCCAACGAAUAAUACUACUUCCGACAAAGGACAACUAUUUCAGAUGAUAUAGCGGAAUCUCAUAUGUAGGUACUUUAAGAGUACUCUCACUUGACUCUUUUGCCCUCAUCCCUGCUGUUCCUUCAGUGAAUUCAAAAGGGUCGUGCAUUUUGGGGACAAAGUUAUUCUCGAGGAUCUAAUCUAGAAUCAACUUUUGAAUUCAAUUAGUAGUAUUCUACUUCAAUUUAUACUAUAAUAUGCUGAUGCAUGAGUUUAAUUCUUAAUGAACAGUUUAUCUUUCUUAUUUACAUAUGAAAAUUCCUGGCUACUUUCACGGUUUAGGAUGAUGGAAUAAUGGAUGUGUUAGAAAAUUCCUGGCUACUUUUAGACUGUAAGUUGUCCUUUGCUUUUUUUCUUAUUUCGUUUCAUGUUUUUCCUAUUUGUUUUCCCUUUGACUGGAAAAAAAAGUUAAGAUUUUACAGUUUGA